UAUUUCAAAACAUAAAUAAAUAAGUAUUAUUUGAGAUAUUUUACUAUUUAUCCGACGUUAAACAUCAACGAGAAAAGAAGGCACUGAUAUUUAAUUAUUCUGAAUGAACAGGGUGAAACCAUUAAUUAAAAGAUGUCAUCUGUUAAGGCUUGGAAAGCCUUGAAAUUAAAGAUUAAGAAAUACAACGACAAGAAUCCAACGGCCAAUGUCAUUUGCAUUGGCAUGGUAAACAACAAUUAUGUUGGCUGUGGCAGCUCAAAAAUGAUGAGCAAAUUUUAUGAAAAUGAGAAAGUUGUAGAGCUGUACCGAGAAGCAGUAAACAGUCAACAAUUUUUUGGUGAUGAGCCUAGUUAUAUGCCGAAAACAACUGUAUCAACCUAUCUAAAUAAAACUGCGACUGAGAUGGAUGUGCAUGAGAUGCGAUCGGUCAUCACAUCUUUACUUUUAAAAUCAGAUGCCAUUACUAUUUAUUGUUGAUGUUGAUGUUGGAUUGUACUGGAUCACUGACAUGCUAAAGAACAAAGAAGAAAUUUUUUUGAUAAGGAUAGUAAUUGUCCAGUAUGGUGGGGGAUCACUGAUGUCCCAUUCUGUUCUUUAAAUCACCCAAAAGGAGGACAACCACGGGCAAAAAAGGAACAAUUGGUUAAAUUAAUCAAAUCAGCACAGGAAUAUUUUAAUAUUAAACCAAAUAGAAAUAAGCUUACACCAAGUGAUGAAAUUAACGCUGAAGAAAUUGAAGAAAUUAACGCUGAAGAAGAAAUGAACGCUGAAGAAAUUGAAGAAAUUAACGCUGAAGAAAUUGAAGAAAUUAACGCUGAAGAAGAAAUUAACGC